rnacentral:tRNA from 1 species
GUGGUGGCUCAGUGGUAGAGCACUUACUUAGCACGUGUGAGGCCCUGGGUUCAGUCCUCAGCACCACA